GACGAACGCUGGCGGCGUGCUUAACACAUGCAAGUCGAACCGUGAAAGCGGAGCUUGCUCCGCUGGACCAGUGGCGAACGGGUGAGUAACACGUGGGCAACCUGCCCCUCACUUCGGGAUAACUCCGGGAAACCGGGGCGAAUACCGGAUAUGACCUCCUUGGGCAUCCUUGGAGGUGGAAAGCCUUUGUGGUGUGGGAUGGGCCCGCGGCCUAUCAGCGUGUUGGUGGGGUGCUGGCCUAGCGAGGCGACGACGGGUAGCCGGCCCGGGCGGGGGACCGGCCACCUUGGGGGUGAGUUACGGCCCAGACGCCUAGGGGAGGGAGCAGUGGGGAAUAUUGCACAAUGGGCGCAAGCCUGGUGCGGCGACGCCGCGUGGGGGAUGGCGGGCGUCGGGUUGUAAACCUCUUUCAGCACCGACGAAGCGCAAGUGAUGGUAGGUGGAGAAGAAGGACCGGCCAACUACGUGCCAGCCGCCGCGGUAA
rnacentral:rRNA from 1 species